UGCACCCCGCUGUCGAGUCAUGAAAGUGGGCUUAACAUGCUAGGCAAUGUGCUAGAGCAUCAACACAUAUAAUAAAAGGAAAAUAAAAGGAGAACUCUAAGUUGGCCGCGCGCGGCCUCCCAAUAAAUAAAUCAAAACCCAAAACAGAACUGAUUAAUACUGGUGUAAGCAAACCGAAACUGCUACAAGCAACUUAAAGGAAACCGGGUAAAACAAAAAGGUGAGGAAAAAAACAGGAAUCA
rnacentral:lncRNA from 1 species